rnacentral:tRNA from 1 species
UCCGUGGUAGCUCAACGGUGGAGCAUUCGGCUGUUAACCGAAGGGCUGGAGGUUCGAAUCCUCUCCACGGAGCCA